GACGAACGCUGGCGGCGUGCCUAAUACAUGCAAGUAGAACGCUGAAGGAGGAGCUUGCUUCUCCGGAUGAGUUGCGAACGGGUGAGUAACGCGUAGGUAACCUGCCUGGUAGCGGGGGAUAACUAUUGGAAACGAUAGCUAAUACCGCAUAAGAGUAGAUGUCGCAUGACAUUUGCUUAAAAGGUGCAACUGCACCGCUACCAGAUGGACCUGCGUUGUAUUAGCUAGUUGGUGAGGUAACGGCUCACCAAGGCAACGAUACAUAGCCGACCUGAGAGGGUGAUCGGCCACACUGGGACUGAGACACGGCCCAGACUCCUACGGGAGGCAGCAGUAGGGAAUCUUCGGCAAUGGACGGAAGUCUGACCGAGCAACGCCGCGUGAGUGAAGAAGGUUUUCGGAUCGUAAAGCUCUGUUGUAAGAGAAGAACGAGUGUGAGAGUGGAAAGUUCACACUGUGACGGUAUCUUACCAGAAAGGGACGGCUAACUACGUG
rnacentral:rRNA from 1 species